rnacentral:lncRNA from 1 species
CUGGAAACCGGCCUCUCAGAUUCCCCUUACCUGAUUCAAAGAGCCUCUUUGGCCUAAAAGCCAACCCUGGCAGUGACCCGCACGCACACACGCACACACCGACAGCAGCCUCGGAGGUCACUCUGGACGGAUUCCCUACACCACAGGUGAAGCCGGGAGCAGCUCUCACCGGGGCUGUGGGUGCGGUGGGCGGGCUGGGUGCGCACCCCACCUUCUCGCCUCUUGGGGACAGUGCUGCGGCGGAUUCCACGCGGUCUCGAGUGUCCUCAGCGAGACUGAGCCCCUGUGGCCCUCUGGACACCUGCUCAGGCACGAGCCCCGUACUCCCGUUGUACCCAAAUGCUCGCCUCAGGUCCGCUGGGGGGAAACCCAAGCUCGAACGACUUCUUCCUGUUUUCUUCUGAAAAUUCCUGACUCUGUUCCCAUUCGUCUUUCUGCGUUUCAGGAGAGGCAGCACCCAGCCCAGCCAAGCCCUGCCCCUCUCCUCUCCCGCCUCGCCUCGAACAGUCCCUUCCUCCUCCCGGUGCCUCCUCGCCUGCACAGGCUCCCACCACAGAUCCCGACCGGCCUCCGGGUGCCUCCGGGUUUCCCCUCCCUACCCAACCCCCGCCUUCAACUGCAGCCCCGCGGUGCGCGGCGAGGACGUUUCCACCAGCGACAGCCUGGCCUCCAAGGGUGCACCUGGUACCGCGCGGGUGUCCCGCGGCACACCCUCUGGGGGUGCGAGGGCUCUCGGUGGCCUCCACAGAGGACGUGAAGGGCCCGUUUCCCGGAACGGCCGUGCCGCUCAGCCGCUCAGCCGCGCGCGGGACUGGGAGCCGCUUCAUUGACUCGUCUGCCCGGAGGAUCCCGCUGCUUCCUCACGUUCACCCCGACUGUAGCAUGUGCUGGGACCUCACCCCUGUCUGUGGCUGAACAUUAUCCCAACCCAAGGAUGUCCCACAUCUCCCUGGUCGCCUCAACAGAUGAAGGACAUCUGGGUUGUCUCUACCCGUGGCUAUUCUGACUAAUGCUGCUAACACCGUGUGUAUAGAAAUGUCUGUGUGGACAGGCACUUUCACUUCUCCUGGGUCCAUAACUGGGAGUGGAGUUGCGAGCUCACAUGGAAACUCCGCGCUUCCUUUUCUGAGCAGCUGCCGCACAGUUUCCCACUGCACCUGUGCCACCACACCACCACUCGCAGUACACAAGGGUUCUGCUUUCUCUCUG